rnacentral:rRNA from 1 species
GAGUAGGGCGGAACACGUGAAAUUCUGUCUGAAGAUCGGAGGACCACCUUCGAAGGCUAAGUACUCCUGACUGACCGAUAGUGAACCAGUACCGUGAGGGAAAGGCGAAAAGAACCCCUGUGAGGGGAGUGAAAUAGAACCUGAAACCGUGUACGUACAAGCAGUAGGAGCAGACUUGUUCUGUGACUGCGUACCUUUUGUAUAAUGGGUCAGCGACUUAUAUUUUGUAGCGAGGUUAACCGAUUAGGGUAGCCGUAGGGAAACCGAGUCUUAACUGGGCGAAUAGUUGCAAGGUAUAGACCCGAAACCCGGUGAUCUAGCCAUGGGCAGGUUGAAGGUUGAGUAACAUCAACUGGAGGACCGAACCCACUAACGUUGAAAAGUUAGGGGAUGACCUGUGGCUAGGAGUGAAAGGCUAAUCAAACCCGGAGAUAGCUGGUUCUCCCCGAAAUCUAUUUAGGUAGAGCCUCGGACGAAUACUUACGGGGGUAGAGCACUGUUAAGGCUAGGGGGUCAUCCCGACUUACCAACCCUUUGCAAACUCCGAAUACCGUAAAGUACUAUCCGGGAGACACACGGCGGGUGCUAACGUCCGUCGUGAAGAGGGAAACAACCCAGACCGCCAGCUAAGGUCCCAAAGUCAUAGUUAAGUGGGAAACGAUGUGGAAAGGCCCAGACAGCCAGGAGGUUGGCUUAGAAGCAGCCAUCCUUUAAAGAGUGCGUAAUAG